CCUUGACAUACUAAGAACUUUCCAGAGAUGGAUUGGUGCUUUCGGGAACUUAGAUACAGGUGCUGCAUGGCUGUCGUCAGCUCGUGUCGUGAGAUGUUGGGUUAAGUCCCGCAACGAGCGCAACCCUUUUCCUUAUUUGCCAGCGGGUCAUGCCGGGAACUUUAAGGAUACUGCCAGUGACAAACUGGAGGAAGGCGGGGACGACGUCAAGUCAUCAUGGCCCUUACGGCCAGGGCUACACACGUGCUACAAUGGUCGGUACAAAGGGUUGCUACCUCGCGAGAGGAUGCUAAUCUCAAAAAGCCGAUCGUAGUCCGGAUCGCAGUCUGCAACUCGACUGCGUGAAGUCGGAAUCGCUAGUAAUCGCGGAUCAGAAUGCCGCGGUGAAUACGUUCCCGGGCCUUGUACACACCGCCCGUCACACCAUGGGAGUUUGUUGCACCAGAAGUAGGUAGUCUAACCGCAAGGAGGACGCUUACCACGGUGUGGCCGAUGACUGGGGUGAAGUCGUAACAAGGUAGGCGUAGAUGA
rnacentral:rRNA from 1 species